CUAGCAACAUUAACUUCACACGCAGAGAUGGGAAAUACCGACAGAGAAAGAAACUGCGAACUGCGGCUUGUUCAAACAGUUUGCUCUCGCAAAAACUCUUCAAGGACAACGGGUAAGAUGUACGUGGAAGUUAAUAUUGAGGGGGCAGAUUCUGGAGCGGAGGAUGAAAUUCACACGUUCCAGGAAUCAGUAUCGUGAACAUCAGUGCAGCAGUUCUGGUCACCUGGAUUUAUAAACACCAAGAAGUAGCAACAGCCAGUGUGCAAGUCACUGACAACCCAAGUCACCAAAAAUCUUACUGAGAACCCAUUAGCUCCUUGAAUUAAAGAUUAUUUUGUGAAAAGAGGCUUGAUCGUCUUGUUCUGCACCUGAAAUAAAGCAUUUCCCA
rnacentral:lncRNA from 1 species